rnacentral:misc_RNA from 1 species
AGCGACGUGUAUAGCUUUGGUGUUAUGCUCAUGGAGAUAAUUACAGGAAGAAGUCCUGUUGACUAUUCGAGACCGCCUGGGGAGAUGAACUUGGUCGAUUGGUUUAAAGGAAUGGUAUCAAAUCGACGUGGUGAAGAAUUGGUCGACCCAUUAAUUGAAGUCCAUCCUCCUCCUAGAUCCCUAAAGCGGGUUUUGUUGGUCUGCCUUCGCUGCAUAGAUAUGGAUGCCAACAAGCGGCCAAAGAUGGGUCAAAUAGUACAUAUGCUAGAGGCUGAUGAAUUUCCUUUCCGUUCAGAACCUCGACUAGUCCAGGAAAAAGAUCCUCUAAAUCCGCGUUCAGCCGGAACCAAUAGACUUCAACUAGCUACUAAAGACGGUGCAGGUGGUGAUGAACAGAAACCUAGAGGGAGAUGAAGAGUUGUAUACAGGAAUAUUUUAGUAUGUAUAUUCUUUUGAAUCAUUUCCGCUCACUCCCAGUUUACUGUCUCCUACAGUAUUAAUUUGUGCCCCGAGCUUGUGCCUAUGUAGGCUCUAUAUCUUGGUCAAUUUUUGUAUAUAAACAUAGUUAAACUACUCAGGAAAA